rnacentral:rRNA from 1 species
CACGUAGUUAGCCGUGGCUUUCUGGUCAGGUACCGUCAAGGUCUGAGCAGUUACUCUCAAACUUGUUCUUCCCUGACAACAGAGUUUUACGAUCCGAAAACCUUCAUCACUCACGCGGCGUUGCUCCGUCAGACUUUCGUCCAUUGCGGAAGAUUCCCUACUGCUGCCUCCCGUAGGAGUCUGGGCCGUGUCUCAGUCCCAGUGUGGCCGAUCACCCUCUCAGGUCGGCUACGCAUCGUCGCCUUGGUAGGCCUUUACCCCACCAACUAGCUAAUGCGCCGCGGGCCCAUCCUGUAAGUGACAGCAGAACCGUCUUUCAUCAACACAUCAGGAGAUGUGAAGCUUUAUCCGGUAUUAGCUCACGUUUCCGCAAGUUAUCCCGAUCUUACAGGCAGGUUGCCCACGUGUUACCUCACCCAUCCGCCGCUCGACUCCACAAUUCGUCACUCCGAAGAGAUCUGAAUUACGUUUACCCGCGCUCGACUUGCUAUGUAUUAGGCUACC